rnacentral:rRNA from 1 species
UACGUAGGGUGCAAGCGUUGUCCGGAAUUAUUGGGCGUAAAGAGCUCGUAGGCGGCUUGUCGCGUCGGAUGUGAAAGCCCCGGGGCUUAACUCCGGGUCUGCAUUCGAUACGGGCAGGCUAGAGUUCGGUAGGGGAGAUCGGAAUUCCUGGUGUAGCGGUGAAAUGCGCAGAUAUCAGGAGGAACACCGGUGGCGAAGGCGGAUCUCUGGGCCGAUACUGACGCUGAGGCGCGACAGCGUGGGGAGCAAACAGG